AAAAGUUUUUAUUUCAGGUUGUGAAUAAAGGCUUGUUUGUUAGAUUUCAAUUGUGGCUCAGUUGGUUGUUUGCUGAGAAGCUGUGAAACAUAAUUAUACAGGCCAUUAAGGAGGUUUUUGUCAGAUUGAUGAAUGUGAAAUUAAGAGGACCCAUUUUGAGGAUGCUUUUUAUGAAUGGAAUCACGAGAGAUGAAGUCUAAAAUGUGAUACUGUCAAUGUGACUAACUUGAAGUAAACAGAUGACACAAUGUUUUUUCAAUGUCAUGGGCAUAUAAUGAAGAGAAAACAGAGAUGCUUGUUUGACAGAUACAGUAAUAGUAGGAGUUAUGAGGGAAGAUAGAAUGCAGUGAUAACUAUAUUGAGGCACCACUUCAUCACCAAGAACAUGAAAUGAAUUAUCAAUGUUUUCAAUGUGUUUGAACACCCAUUUUAAAUAAUACAGCUCAGAGUGAA